GACGAACGCUGGCGGCGUGCCUAAUACAUGCAAGUCGAACGAGUGGCGGACGGGUGAGUAAUGUCUGGGAAACUGCCUGAUGGAGGGGGAUAACUACUGGAAACGGUAGCUAAUACCGCAUACCAUCAGAUGUGCCCAGAUGGGAUUAGCUAGUUGGGGGGGUAACGGCUCACAAAGGCGACGAUCCCUGGCUGGUCUGCGAGGAUGACACGCCACACUGGAACGGAGACACGGUCCAGAUUCCUACGGGAGGCAGCAGUGGGGAAUAUUGAACAAUGGGCGCAAGCCUGAUGCAGCCAUGCCGCGUGUAUGAAGAAGGCCCUCGGGUUGUAAAGUACUUUCAGCGGGGAGGCGUUACCCGCAGAAGAAGCACCGGCUAACUCCGUGCCAGCCGCCGCGGUAAUAC
rnacentral:rRNA from 1 species